GACGAACGCUGGCGGCGUGCUUAACACAUGCAAGUCGAACGAUGAACCCGGAGCUUGCUCCGGUGGAUUAGUGGCGAACGGGUGAGUAACACGUGAGUAACCUGCCCUUGACUCUGGGAUAACUGCGGGAAACUGUAGCUGAUACCGGAUACGACCCUCGGCGGCAUCGCCAGGGGGUGGAAAGAAUUUCGGUCAAGGAUGGACUCGCGGCCUAUCAGCUGGUUGGUGAGGUAACGGCUCACCAAGGCGACGACGGGUAGCCGGCCUGAGAGGGUGCCCGGCCACACUGGGACUGAGACACGGCCCAGACUCCUACGCGAGGCAGAAGUGGGGAAUAUUGCACAAUGGGCGCAAGCCUGAUGCACCAACGCCGCGUGAGGGAUGACGGCCUUCGGGUUGUAAACCUCUUUUAGUAGGGAAGAAGCGAAAGUGACGGUACCUGCAGAGAAAGCACCGGCUAACUACGUGCCAGCAGCCGCCGUAA
rnacentral:rRNA from 1 species